rnacentral:rRNA from 1 species
AGUGAACGCUGGCGGUAGGCCUAACACAUGCAAGUCGAACGGCAGCACAGUAAGAGCUUGCUCUUACGGGUGGCGAGUGGCGGACGGGUGAGGAAUACAUCGGAAUCUACCUUUUCGUGGGGGAUAACGUAGGGAAACUUACGCUAAUACCGCAUACGACCUACGGGUGAAAGCAGGGGAUCUUCGGACCUUGCGCGAUUGAAUGAGCCGAUGUCGGAUUAGCUAGUUGGCGGGGUAAAGGCCCACCAAGGCGACGAUCCGUAGCUGGUCUGAGAGGACGAUCAGCCACACUGGAACUGAGACACGGUCCAGACUCCUACGGGAGGCAGCAGUGGGGAAUAUUGGACAAUGGGCGCAAGCCUGAUCCAGCCAUACCGCGUGGGUGAAGAAGGCCUUCGGGUUGUAAAGCCCUUUUGUUGGGAAAGAAAAGCAGCAGGUUAAUACCCCGCUGUUCUGACGGUACCCAAAGAAUAAGCACCGGCUAACUUCGUG